CAUAUCUGAGAAAGAAGAAAUAGGGCAAAGAAAAUCAGAUCGGAGAAAGAAGAGAUGGAGAACAAUUUUAACUGAAGAGUUGAAGAAGACUAAGGUGAAUUUUAACCAUCUUGCAAACCCAAUUAAGUUUGCACUUGCAUUUUGAUAAUAUGAUUUGUGUUGAUGCAAGCACGAGUCCCCCUGAAGUGCUUGACCACCGGCCGGUUGCUGUGGAGGUCAGCAUCACCUAGCUGUGGCCAUCCUGGGCGCCGAGAGAAUUAGCUGAAAAAUCUUGCUGAGAUCCAGGUCACGGGUCAUCCCCAUUCAGGUGGCUAUGAAACUUGUUCCUAACAAAGAUAAAUUUGUGGAGGUGGCUAGGGGAACAUGAGGAGCAAGUUUAGCCUGGCAGGUGCUUCUCAGGUUCGAUGGUUUCCAACAAGGGAGCGAUAUCCAUGCUCUGCAUCAAGGUCGUAGUGCUUUCUUCAUGGGUUCGGCCUUUGCCAUUAAGAUGCAUGAUGCUCUGACAAGCACAAACAUCAGGACUACAGACAGAUAGAAGAAGCUUUUAUCAAUGUCUCCCCUUUCUAACAAUUGAGAGAAUUUCUAUGCAAGAUAAAUUUAACUCUGUUCUUGAUCAUGAAUCCCUACGUGUCUGUGCUCAACUGAAUCGUGUUUGCCUGGUGUGAUCUCUCCCAGAACAAGAAUCUUGAUGAGCAAGAAGUAGUAUAACUGGCGGGAAAUGCUAUAGC